rnacentral:misc_RNA from 1 species
GAUGAAGAACGUAGCGAAAUGCAAUAAGUAAUGUGAAUUGCAGAAUUCAGUGAAUCAUCGAAUCUUUGAACGCACAUUGCGCCCGCCAGUAUUCUGGCGGGCAUGCCUGUCCGAGCGUCAUUUCAACCAUCAAGCCCCGGGCUUGUGUUGGGGACCUGCGUCCGACGCAGGCCCUGAAAACCAGUGGCGGGCUCGCUGUCCACACCGAGCGUAGUAACUAACCUCGCUAUGGAGUGGCGCGGGCGCCUGCCGUAAAACCCCCAAUUUCACAAGGUUGACCUCGGAUCAGGUAGGAAUACCCGCUGAACUUAAGCAUAUCAAUAAGCGGAGGA